UAACUAUACAGACAUCAUGGAAGUUAGCUAGUGGUGGGCAUGCUACUAACUAGUUAACUAUACAGACAUCACGGCCAUUAACUAGCUAUCUUAUCAACGUGCAAAUAUAUCAAGUACCCUGGCAAUAUAAGUAGCUAGCUUGUCAUACUUGAAUAACAUUAUUUAAUGUUUAUUAAUCCAACUUUACACAGGCUACUGUUUGGCAGUAGCCCACAAGCCAACCGUGAGCUUCUCUUGUGAAGCCCAGACAUAAGAGAAAGAACAAUGGCCAAACCUGGUCUUUGCUCCCCCUGCCCAACCCCCCUCCACGCCACUCCGCCAACCGCCAGGAUGCCCGGCAUCAAAACAUUCCAGGCAUUCCCGUGAUUGGCAGAUAGCAGGUUGAUUGGCAUGUCGGACCCCGCGAACACUGGGUACUGAUAUGGAGAAUGCAGGUCAUAUGGAAAUGUUUCCAGAUGUUGAACUGGCCGCCGUGUAGCUGUUUCGGAUGACCGGAGCCCACUCGGACGCAUCGUCUUGCCUCUCUCAUCACCUUUGUGCUGAUCAAACUAUAGUAUAAAUUACUAGUCUAAUAAAUUGUUUUGUGAUUUAUAUGCUAUAAAUAUUUACACCUGUUGUUUUACCCAUUUCUUUUGUGGCAGAUCAUUUUUAUUAUGCUUGACUGAAAACGUUCUAACAAUGUUUAGAAAAUAUAAACAUAAGGAAAACGUGAUCUUAUUUUCUGUGGACCUGUCUUAUAAACUGGGUUUCUUUUUUGAUAAACAGAUAGUGGUAUUGUACAGUUUAUCUCACCUUACUCAGUAGUAGAAGGCAACAUGGCAAGUGCUAACAAAACAGAGUUGUCAACAAAUUCUGGAUCAUUGAAGGAGUGGAACAUGUUGAUGUCGGAAAAUAGUGCCAUGCUUGUCGUGUUGAUAUCAGUUGUGAUUCUUUUGACAUGUAAUAUCUCCACAUUUAACACCUGCAUAUUGUUUCUGUAACAUUGGUAUUACAGAGCCAUUAUUUCACCCAAUGAAUCAGAUCAGAGAGCAUUUAUUUGCUUAUUUCUUGUGUAGCUUUCCCUACAGGGUUAACUUGCUACGAUGUUUUGCAUACAGGGAUUAGACACAUCUUUUUCAAGUACACUUUCUUUUAUCAUGUUUUAAUGAAAUGCUUAAUUAAAGCUCCCGCAGGAAAUUAACAUUAAAAUAUUCCUGUAUUAUUCUAAGAUCUGGUGCCUGAGCUGUGGUGGCGGGAAGAUAAUGGACAAGCCUCACUACUCUCCAGUACAUGAAAGCUAAUUGAGGCAGAGAGUGAGUUGCCCUCUUGUGGUGAGAGCCCCCCUCCAACCUCACCUGUAGCAUCUUUUGCAUAACAGGAGCCACAGCAGUGAAGGGUCAGUCACCUGACAUGACAGCUUGACUAACAUGACCACUAAGGGGCAGACUCCAGGCAGGCUAGAACACCGUUGGAGAUCUGCCCAACCAGUCUGAGGCGUUGGCUCAUCUAUGUUAGCAUAACAGGAUGAAUGUAACAUGGACCAUAUUUAUACAAUUCAGACUCUUUUUUUUUAACGCAAUGUGUCUGCUUUCUGGAUUGUACUGUUGGUAUCUGUGUAAUAUAAUGCAUUAUUCUGCAUCCGUAUCAAUGUCUUUGUGUGUCCUAUGUAUCUUUCUAUGACCACCAUUGGCACUUUUAUCUCUCAUGUUGUGUCAUUGCAUUGUAAGGACUUUCCUGCUUUUGGUGCACACCUCUCAAUUCACUCAUGUGACUGAUGCUACUACUUUGAUUAAAUGAUCAGCAGGA